CAAUAAGCGGAGGAAAAGAAACUAACAAGGAUUCCCCUAGUAACUGCGAGUGAAGCGGGAAAAGCUCAAAUUUAAAAUCUGGCAGUGGCUCACUGCCCGAGUUGUAAUCUAGAGAAGUGUUGCUCACACUGGACCAUGUAUAAGUCUUCUGGAAUGAAGCGUCAUAGAGGGUGAGAAUCCCGUCUUUGACAUGGACUCCCAGUGUAUUUGUAGUAUGCUCUCAAAGAGUCGAGUUGUUUGGGAAUGCAGCUCUAAAUGGGUGGUAACCUCCAUCUAAAGCUAAAUAUUGGCGAGAGACCGAUAGUGAACAAGUACCGUGAGGGAAAGAUGAAAAGAACUUUGGAAAGAGAGUUAAAAAGUACGUGAAAUUGUUGAAAGGGAAACGCUUGAAGUCAGUCACAUUGGCCAGGGAUCAACUUGCUUAAGUGUACUUCCUGGUUGAUGGGCCAACAUCAGCUUUGACUGUCAGAGAAGGGUAGGGGGAAUGUGGCACCCUCUUGGGUGUGUUAUAGCCCUCUGUCAUAUAUGGCCGUUGGGGCUGAGGAAUGCAGCGCGCCGCAAGGCCGGGUUUCGACCACGUUCGCGCUUAGGAUGUUGGCAUAAUGGCUUUAAUCGACCCGUCUUGAAA
rnacentral:rRNA from 1 species